UAUACAAGCCUGUUCGUGCAUGUAUCAGACUGAUCUGUAGGUAAAUCUGUCCCAACAGUCACUGUGCAGGCAUGCUACUGAAAAUCAGUGUUAUCCAUUCCAGCUAAGUUUCUUCAAAGGAGGGAAAAAAAAAAAAAAGGUGUCAUGGAAGCGUGGAAGGAUGGUCUUGCUUUCCUCUUGGUAGCGUGGGCAGAAAGAAGCGACAGGAACAAGGGGACCACCUCUUCCUGUGGCAGCAAAGACUUGCACCUGUUUAAAGAAAGAAAUUCAGAAGAGACUCUUCUCAACUUACCUACGUUUCUUAAAUAAUACUAAACUAUCUAGAGAAAAGUUGAAUAUGCUGUUCCCACUACAAUUGAUCCUUUACAAGGGGGCACAUUCACACUACGGCAAGUUUUCCAUCCAGGAUAAACAGUCCUGUUGGGGUCAGGAGAAGGGGACACUGGAGAAGUCCGAGCAAAUGCUCUGUAGAAGAUCUCGCUGUAACUCUAUAGCUUUGUGCAUUCUGAAACCAAAGAUGAUUGUGGCAGGAAUUCCUAUCUCAACCUGGACGCAUAGCUGGAGAUGGAGAAAGGGAUAUUCAGUCUUCUCCAUGCAAGGUCCCCUUGGAUUGAGAACCAUUGGGGAUUGGCCGCUUACUCUGAAUAAGUAGCGGAUAUGAGAAUAGCUGAUAUCCUGUGAGGAGGCUGGUUUGUAGCCAUGUGGGCCCCUGUUCUGCAGACUACAUUUUAAAAUUGACUGUAUUUCUACAUGCAUCUUUGUAAGUAUUUGCAUUUAAAUGUAAAUAUAAAUUGUACUCUUCUACAUAGAGAGUUUCUCUUUCUUUCUUUUUCUUUCUUUUUCUCUCUCUAAAUAUAUAUGUAUUUCUCUCUUUUUAAAAUAGAUUUUCAGUAUGAAUCGACUAUCAGUGAAGUUCUUCUGUAGUGGUUAAUUCAUUCUUAAUAGAAAGUGGUAUUUUUCUGAAGAAAAAGGAACAAUACAUCUUUAGAAUAGGUUUGAGCUUGGAUCUGAGGAGAAAUAGAGGAGGAUGGCUAAAGUGUUUUUCAUUUCCUUUCUGCGGUUGAUCGCACAGUCACUUUACACUGUAUUUUAAAGUACACCAUGUAUGUUGGAACCUGGGACCUGUUGGACACCAGCUGCUUGCAACAGAUGGAAUAUCUGACAAAAACUCAAAUUCUCGAUUUUUUUUUGCUCCCCGCUCUCUGGCAAGUCAGUUGCAGCCUACCUCGACAUGGCAGUUUGGAUCCGAAUGGCAAUUUGGUCAAUACUACAGAGAUGAAGGCACGGGCAAGGAAGCUCAUCCAUCAUCUUAACACUCUUCAUGAUGAACCAAGCAAAGUGACGUGCACAGCUAGAAGAAACAGGCAGUCUUCGCUCAGAUUCUUCAUUCUGAAGAGUAAAGCAGCUAUGUUUGUAACAUGAAGAAAUAUGGCCUUUGUGAGCAUGUAGUUGCAGCCAAAUGGGUUGCGAUCUGCUGUGAGACCCAAGCAAAGAGGACAGGAGAUAAGGCACCCAGGCUACUCCAGCUUACACAGGUAUUAGUUCCGUUCUUUAAGAAUCUGCCCCAUAGAGACACAUCUGCAAAGUGUGGUUCCUCCUUGUGCGUGUAGAAGUCUGCACACAAGGCCCUUGUGUGCAAAACCAGGCUGAUGUGCUAGUACCUGCAAACGGCAAAACUACAAGUUGAGCACAAAUCAGGUUUUUUUGCAUGUUGCAUUUUUUUCUGUCAGCUUGCAGCUAUGCGGAAACAACUGAAGCCAAGCUGAGGCACUGAAGCUAUUGAAAAUCUGACCCUGAAUAUUAAACCACCCCCCCUGCAAGGUAGUGUUCGUCUAGGGGAUUUGAACAGUUCUGAAUUGCCAAACCACAGUCCCCCAAAAGAGAAUUGACUAGACAAUAGAAACAUGAUUGACAGAGAAAGAUGAAAUGUGACUAUUUAACCUAUUUUUCUUCACUACUUUGUCAUGUAUUCUGACUCCUUUAACCAACCUCUUAAUGGCAACUCCUCUCCAUUUUUACAUCAGCCUUAAAUGACGGACAUAAUCCCUGUGCUGGAGGCUGGCAGAUUCCCCCCUUCCCGAUCUCCUGCCCUUUUCCUGGGUGGGACAGGCCUGUGUUUGAGAAGGCUCCCAUGGGUCUACCCGGAGCGUUGCUACAGCUGCAGACCGCGGCAGAAGCGAAGCAGGUCUCCCGCACUGCAGCAAGGAAUUCUGUCUGUGGGGCACUAGGAAGCGUUGACCCGAAUACGUGGGACUGCAGAGAAAAGUGUUCAGAACAGUAGCACGAAUGAUGAAGCGACACAUCGUUGCACCGUGACUCGAGAAAGGCCAGAUGCUCCUGAGGGCCUGUUGACUGCAGUGGAACUUUGUUGGCCCACAGUGCAGCUAAACAAAAUAAAAGGAAUACAGGCUGUGGGACA
ensembl:lncRNA